UCCUACGGGGGGCAGCAGUGGGGAAUAUUGCGCAAUGGGCGAAAGCCUGACGCAGCGACGCCGCGUGAGGGAUGAAGGUCUUCGGAUCGUAAACCUCUGUCAGCAGGGAAGAACGGUCACUGUGCUAAUAAGCAGUGAAUUGACGGUACCUGCAAAGGAAGCACCGGCUAACUCCGUGCCAGCAGCCGCGGUAAUACGGAGGGUGCGAGCGUUAAUCGGAAUUACUGGGCGUAAAGCGCUCGUAGGCGGUAUGUCAAGUCAAGGGUGAAAUCCCCGCGCUCAACAUGGGAACUGCCUUUGAAACU
rnacentral:rRNA from 1 species